AAAAGGUCUUCUUCACCACCUUCCAGCAUAUUGCUUCAGUUAGUGCAACCAUAGCUUUCCAGACUUUCUUAUCUCUUUCGUCAUCUCGAUAAACGGGCGUUGCUGACCAUACGAAAAACCCUCCAGGUCUAAGUAUCCUGUUAAGUUCCAUCAGUGGUUUUCCUCCAUCUCCAUCCCAAUGAACCCUGCAUCUUGCACAAUGAAUCACAUCAUAUGCAUUAUCCGGAAAUGCCAGCUUUUGAGUUCCAAUGACUGAGAGAGUAGCAGGAAUUCCACGUUCAAGUGCAAACUGUAUCUGAGCCUCAUGUUCAUCCUUUGGUGCAAGUGACAUGGUAAUGACAUUUUUAUCCAGCAAAUACCCACCGAAGCUAGCAACACCGCAGCCAACAUCUAAAAUGACCCUUAUAUGCUUUCCCCAGUCGAUUUCUGGAAAAGUCUUUUGAAUUGACUCGAUAUAGUUGGUCACUCCAUCCUUGAACUGCGUUCCACCACCAGGAAAAACAAGAUAAUCG
rnacentral:misc_RNA from 1 species